GCACCCAUAGCACAACUGGAUAAUGCGUCACCCUCCGAAGGUGAAGAUUGUGGGUUCGAAUCCCGCUGGGUGCGCCA
rnacentral:tRNA from 1 species